rnacentral:lncRNA from 1 species
UUUCUGUUUUUCAAAGUUUGCAAAGGAUCAAUCGAUUUAUCCUCAGUGUCAAUCGAUUGGUUCACUAAAAUUUUCCACUGUUCCAAAACAGAAAGUUUGUGCAAUCGAUUGUAAUACACUGUCAAUCGAAUGGUCCUGCUAAAAUUCCAUUUUCUACAAAACAAAAGGGUUGUGCAAUCGAUUGGUUGCAGGGACCAAUCGAUUGGUCCUCACACAUUUCCACAUUUUCACUUCACAGAACACCAUUUCCUCUAUUACUACAUUUCUAACAAAC